rnacentral:tRNA from 1 species
GGUCGACUGGUGUAGUGGUUAUCACGUCUGUCUUACAACUACAUCGCACGGUGUAAUGUGAGGACACAGAAGGUCGCAGGUUCGAUCCCUGCGUCGAUCA